rnacentral:rRNA from 1 species
GAUGAACGCUCGCGGCAGGCCUAACACAUGCAAGUCGAGGGAGAAGCCCUUUCGGGGGCCGAAACCGGCGCACGGGUGCGUAACGCGUAUGCAACCUACCUUUCACAGGGGGAUAGCCCGAAGAAAUUUGGAUUAAUACCCCAUAAUAUUAUUGGAUGGCAUCAUUUGAUAAUUAAAACUGCGGUGGUGAAAGAUGGGCAUGCGUCCUAUUAGCUAGUUGGAGUGGUAACGGCACCCCAAGGCUACGAUAGGUAGGGGUCCUGAGAGGGAGAUCCCCCACACUGGUACUGAGACAGGGACCAGACUCCUACGGGAGGCAGCAGUGAGGAAUAUUGGACAAGGGUCGGAAGACUGAACCAGCCAUGCCGCGUGCAGGAAGAAUGCCUUAUGGGUGGUAAACUGCUUUUAGAUGGGAAGAAUAAGGCGUACGUGUACGUUGAUGACGGUACCAGAUGAAUAAGCAUCGGCUAACUCCGUG